rnacentral:rRNA from 1 species
UCGCUCUUCAACGAGGAAUCCCUAGUAAGCGCGAGUCAUCAGCUCGCGUUGAUUACGUCCCUGCCCUUUGUACACACCGCCCGUCGCUACUACCGAUUGAAUGGCUUAGUGAGACCUUCGGAUUGGAGGUAGGUUUCUGGCAACAGUAGCCAGCUUCUGAGAAGUUGGUCAAACUUGGUCAUUUAGAGGAAGUAAAAGUCGUAACAAGGUUUCCGUAGGUGAACCUGCGGAAGGAUCAUUAAUAAAUGCUCUAUUGCAUCCACCUUUUGUGCACUGUAAAUAUUUCACUUAAAUUUUGUCUGAUUAAUCUUUGUUCUGAAUGGAACAUAAAUUGUAAUCAAAAACAACUUUUAACAAUGGAUCUCUUGGCUCUCGCAUCGAUGAAGAACGCAGCGAAAUGCGAUAAGUAAUGUGAAUUGCAGAAUUCAGUGAAUCAUCGAAUCUUUGAACGCAUAUUGCGCUCUCUGGCAUUCCGGAGAGCAUGCCUGUUUGAGUAUUGGUCUCAUGGGUAACCACACUUCGGGAUGAAAUGUAAAUACCUCGUAAUAGAAGUCGAUUCUACGUCAGACAUUAUUCAUGUCAAUCGUUUAAAGUCCUUCAACAAUUAUGUGGUUUUAAUGGAUCGAAGCAAAAAAUUCUUAAAGAAAAAACCCUGUUGAGGCAUCUUGGCAUUGUCAAGUACCUUAAAAUGCAAUAGUACAGCGAGAACAACCACUAUGAAGUAAUAUGUGACCUGAAAGGGUGACUAGUAUUUCUUCUCAGUUGGAUUUGAACACGUUGUUGUUGUUUGAAAGCGUGGUGGUUCUGCUUCGCAAGUUCGAGUAACGCCGAACAAAAAUCUCAAUCUCAAAUCGGGUAGGAUUACCCGCUGAACUUAAGCAUAUUAAUAAGCGGAGGAAAAGAAACUAACAAGGAUUCCCCUAGUAACGGCGAGUGAAGCGGGAAGAGCUCAAAUUUGGAAUCUGGGCAGGUCUCCUGCUCCGAGUUGUAAUCUAUAGACGUGUUUUCGGUGGUUGUGUUGGUAUAAAUCCUUUGGAACAGGGUAUCAUAGAGGGUGAAAAUCCCGUCUUUGGCUGACAUACAACUGCCAUGUGAUACAUGUUCAAAGAGUCGCAUUGUUUGGGAAUGCAGUGCAAAUUGGGUGGUAAAUUUCAUCCAAAGCUAAAUAAUGGCGAGAGACCGAUAGCGAACAAGUACCGUGAGGGAAAGAUGAAAAGAACUUUGAAAAGAGAGUUAAAUAGUACGUGAAAUUGUUAAAAGGGAAACGCAUGAAAUCAGUAAUCUUUGCAGCAAAUCAACCGGCCGUUGUGCGAUUCUUCGUGCAUGGGACGGUGCACUUUGCUGCAAAGGAGUCAACAUCAGUUUGGGCUGAUGGAUAUACCUCCGCGGAAGGUAACCACAUCUGUGGUGUUUAGCCGCGGUAGGCAAAAAUACAUCGGUCUGGACUGAGGUCUGCAGCACACUUAUUGCGGGACAGCCCGGUGCUGUUGAUGUCUCUGUGGCCCUCAACUUGUUGAGUGUCAUAAAGAAAGCGGCACCCACCGGGGACUGUUACUUUUGUGCUUAGGAUGUUGACAAAAUGGUUUUAUACGACCCGUCUUGAAACACGGACCAAGGAGUCUAACAUAUAUGCGAGUGUUU